rnacentral:rRNA from 1 species
GAUGAACGCUAGCUACAGGCUUAACACAUGCAAGUCGAGGGGCAGCAUGGUCUUAGCUUGCUAAGGCCGAUGGCGACCGGCGCACGGGUGAGUAACACGUAUCCAACCUGCCGUCUACUCUUGGACAGCCUUCUGAAAGGAAGAUUAAUACAAGAUGGCAUCAUGAGUUCACAUGUUCACAUGAUUAAAGGUAUUCCGGUAGACGAUGGGGAUGCGUUCCAUUAGAUAGUAGGCGGGGUAACGGCCCACCUAGUCUUCUAUGGAUAGGGGUUCUGAGAGGAAGGUCCCCCACAUUGGAACUGAGACACGGUCCAAACUCCUACGGGAGGCAGCAGUGAGGAAUAUUGGUCAAUGGGCGAGAGCCUGAACCAGCCAAGUAGCGUGAAGGAUGACUGCCCUAUGGGUUGUAAACUUCUUUUAUAAAGGAAUAAAGUCGGGUAUGUAUACCCGUUUGCAUGUACUUUAUGAAUAAGGAUCGGCUAACUCCGUG